GGAGGGUGCGAGCGUUGUUCGGAAUCACUGGGCGUAAAGCGCGUGUAGGCGGCCUUGUAAGUCUGGUGUGAAAGCCCGGGGCUUACCCCCGGAAGUGCACUGGAAACUGCAAGGCUAGAGUACCGGAGAGGGUGGCGGAAUUCCCGGUGUAGGGGUGAAAUCCGUAGAUAUCGGGAGGAACACCAGUGGCGAAGGCGGCCACCUGGACGGUGACUGACGCUGAGACUCGAAAGCGUGGGUAGCAAACAGGAUUAGAUACCCUGGUAGUCCACGCUGUAAACGGUGAGUGCUCGUCGUCGUGGGUAUUGACCCCUGCGGUGACCAAGUUAACACAUGAAGCACUCCGCCUGGGAAGUACGGUCGCAAGACUA
rnacentral:rRNA from 1 species